rnacentral:rRNA from 1 species
CCGUGACUAAUAAUCAUGGUUCAUGACGGUAUCAACAGAAGAAGCACCGGGCUAACUACGUGCCAGCAGCCGCGGUAAUACGUAGGGUGCAAGCGUUAAUCGGGAAUUACUGGGCGUAAAGGGUGCGCAGGCGGUUCUGUAAGUCAGAUGUGAAAUCCCCGGGCUUAACCUGGGAACUGCGUUUGAAACUGCAGAGCUAGAGUGCGGCAGAGGGAGGUGGAAUUCCAUGUGUAGCAGUGAAAUGCGUAGAGAUAUGGAAGAACAUCGAUGGCGAAGGCAACCUCCUGGGCUAGCACUGACGCUCAUGCACGAAAGCGUGGGGAGCAAACAGGAUUAGAUACCCUGGUAGUCCACGCCCUAAACUAUGUCAACUAGUUGUCGGGCCUUAAUAGGCUUGGUAACGUAGCUAACGCGUGAAGUUGACCGCCUGGGGAGUACGGUCGCAAGAUUAAAACUCAAAGGAAUUGACGGGGAC